rnacentral:rRNA from 1 species
AUGAUGGUUCGACAACCACAACCUCGCAAGGCCAUCCACAUGGCCCAGCAACACUAUUUCAAUCUUGCCGACAAUAUCCAGGAACCACGACCACCAACAUGCAGCAUGGCCAAUGGGCGGAGAACGGAUGGAUACCUCGCUGGGAACCAUGGUUUCACACAUGCAGUAGAAACCAAAUGGUGGAUGGAAAGGCUACCUCAUGGGGUGCACAUGGACGUGAUGACUUUGAAGUGUUUAUGGACCAAUGAACCUAUAAUCGUGGAUCUUAUGUGUCUUCCAGACCAUUUGGUGUUUCCGAUAUUUUGGAGCUUGUACUUUGUGCAAGUGGAUAUAGACUUGUGUGUUGUAGACCAUCUAGCUAAAGUCUCUCAUACAAGCAAAUAG